GGGUGAAUCCAGGGCCUCUGCGCUGAGCUACACCCCUGGUCCUUUUUUAUUUUUUACUUGGAGACUAUUUUGUGCUGAAGGAAUGAGAGGCACACAGGGCUGCAGGCAGCAAAGCCAAGAAUGGAAAGAUUUGAGGACAGAGACCCACCACAUGCACCUGAUUCCCAGAGAAAGAAAGACCUGAAGACAACAGCAGAUAUAAAACAGAGUUUGCGGCAAUAAAUUUAUCUCAGGUGGCUUUAAUCAAACUUUAGCAGGCUGGAACUGAAGGUCAUCUCCUCCUCUCCACUUCAAGAGGAAAUGUUGCUUCACGCACGGCUCAGGCUAGUGACAUGAGCAUGCUUGGAAAAUAAUGCUGGAUGGUAAUCUAGACAAAGAACCUCGCCCCAUUAGCCACGCGGCUUGGGGAGGGCGCCCACACCACACUGUGUGUUUCACUGCCCAUAAAAGGUAAUAUAACUCUGCAUGUGACCUUAGUGUUCAAAUAUACAUUGUGCCUGAUGCAAACCAUUUUCCCCAUCUGGCUGUAAAAGAGAUAAUACAGACAUGAUGGAGAAGGUUAUCCCCAGAAACUCUGAAGUUAAUAGAAUUCCGUCUGCUUAAAGAUGAAUUAAACUGACCUGAAGCCGAGGAACAGUGUAAUCUCUUGUGAAACCUAAAACACCACUGAAAUAUUCCUCUUCAUCGAACUGAGAAAUUAGGAAGAAGAGGUGGUUGAAAAGUUUUAGCUGCAACUUCCCAAAAAACAACCCAGUUAAUCAGUUCAGUGAAGCCACUGGUCAACAAAAAGUGCUUGACCCAAAUGUCUGAGCCUGAAUCUUUUUCAGUUAACCAUACUGAUUUUUGCAGAAAAAAAGAAAGCUUUUCUUUUGUAUUAAUUUCACUCUUAAGGCUCUUAGCAUCCUCUCAAACACUUUAUGUAAGACAUUUAGAAAAGAGAGCACUAUUUUGUCAUGAGUUUGAAAUUUUAGAGUGAGAUGAUAAGGAGACAGCUUUGGUAUACCUAAGACUUUACAAACCCAACAAUAUUAGUCAAGACAUAAAAAAUGUACCAACUCUAUAAAGUGAAGACAAUAUGAAAGGAUAAUCCAUUACUGCUUUAAUGUGGGAAAGAGCAGAGAAUGAGGAUGUGUACUGGCCCAAAUGUGGUUGGAAACCAGGGCCCACCACAGGUUGUCACCCCCAGGAACCCUCCAACAGAUCUUCUCUUCCUUUGAGUGCCACAUUUCUAAAGCUAAAAAACAGAAAUAGCUUGAAAAUCACUGACCUCUUCUGAUCAUCUGCCAGUUGCAUUAAAAAUAGUGCUGGAGCUUUAAAAAAAGAAAAAGAAAAAAACAAAACAACAGCACAUCUUGAGCCUACAUUUUGGCAAAAAAGUGCUGUUUUGUUUGAUAUUUUAACUUUCUUUUUAAACCUUCAAAGCUAGACACUACACAGAAAAUAAAAGCAAUACAUUACAGAAAAAUGCAGAGUUUUAAGGCUAUGGCAUCUGGACCUACUUACAUUUUAUGUGGGGAACUUUCUAGAUGGAAGCCCCUCCCUGCGUCUUUUGCUCUUUCAGUGUGACCUGUUUAGGUGACCGUGUGAUGCUGAUGUGCCUUUGUCUAAAGGAUGGGCCUAUCUUGCUUUUUCAAAAACUAUGUUUAAAAAAAAGUGUUAUUUAGUCAGAUACUUGCCCUCAAAACGUCCUCUCUCUUACCUGUGUAACUCUGAAUACCCCAGAUGACAGCAUAGUUUGAAUGUUAACUUUCAGCUACACUCCACCAUAACGUGUUUUUUGGACAUUGUAUAUAAUUGUUACAUCUACUAUGUAGAGCCACUGAAAAGCUAAACACGGAAGUUACUGCUUUGCCUGUCAAAAUAUUUCUCCUAGAACUAAAACAACUACAAUAAACACGAUGAAUUCAUGUUUAACUUAUAAAAUUAUGUUAA